rnacentral:rRNA from 1 species
UACAGAGGGUGCGAGCGUUAAUCGGAAUUACUGGGCGUAAAGGGCUCGUAGGCGGCCAACUAAGUCGGACGUGAAAUCCCCAGGCUCAACCUGGGAACUGCGUCCGAUACUGGAUGGCUUGAAUUCGGGAGAGGGAUGCAGAAUUCCAGGUGUAGCGGUGAAAUGCGUAGAUAUCUGGAGGAAUACCGGUGGCGAAGGCGGCAUCCUGGACCGACAUUGACGCUGAUGAGCGAAAGCCAGGGGAGCAAACGGG